AGAGGAAAAGCCCCAUAGUGAAAAGUGUCAUACGUCACAUCCGGAGCGUGCCGGGCCUCCAGAACAAUGAGGCGUUCCCAUCCCGUUCGGAAUAAAAACAAGGAGCGGCACACGGAGGUUCUGGAAGGCUGAGGAAUGUCGCUCUCAUUUUGGGAAAAGUGUGGCUUGAGGAGCAGGAAGCGCGGCGGCUCUUAAAGAAAACACGACCGCGCUGGUGAUGCCGUUCCAUGGAGACCAAACAAGAUGGCAGAUUAUCAAGGGACUUGGCGUUGAGGCGUUUGGCUAUGCUGGCGGCGAUGCUGUCGCCCAUGCCGAGGAUGUGCGUGUCCAGCUUGUGCAGAAGCUCCUUGGAGUGAAACCUCUCCUCAUCCAGGAAGCUGGAUUUUUUUUUAUUUUAUUU